rnacentral:rRNA from 1 species
CGAACGCUGGCGGCAGGCCUAAUACAUGCAAGUCGAACGGCUCUUCGGAGCAGUGGCGGACGGGUGAGUAACGCGUGGGAAUGUGCCCUUCGGUACGGAACAACACAGGGAAACUUGUGCUAAUACCGUAUGUGCCCUUCGGGGGAAAGAUUUAUCGCCAUUGGAGCAGCCCGCGUUGGAUUAGGUAGUUGGUGAGGUAAAGGCUCACCAAGCCUACGAUCCAUAGCUGGUCUGAGAGGAUGACCAGCCACACUGGGACUGAGACACGGCCCAGACUCCUACGGGAGGCAGCAGUAGGGAAUCUUGCGCAAUGGGCGAAAGCCUGGCGCAGCCAUGCCGCGUGUAUGAUGAAGGUCUUAGGAUUGUAAAAUACUUUCACCGGGGAAGAUAAUGACGGUACCCGGAGAAGAAGCCCCGGCUAACUUCGUGCCAGCCGCCGCCGUAAGAC